GCCUGCUUGGUGGAAUUGGUAGACACAACAGACUUAAAAUCUGUCGAUUUUACGAUCGUGCCGGUUCAACUCCGGCAGCGGGCACCA
rnacentral:tRNA from 1 species